rnacentral:sRNA from 1 species
UACCGAGUGCGGGCCCUCUGGGUCCAACCUCCCAUCCGUGUCUAUCUGUACCCUGUUGCUUCGGCGUGGCCACGGCCCGCCGAAGACUAACAUUUGAACACUGUCUGAAGUUUGCAGUCUGAGUUUUUAGUUAAACAAUAAUUAAAACUUUCAACAACGGAUCUCUUGGUUCCGGCAUCGAUGAAGAACGCAGCGAAAUGCGAUAAUUAAUGUGAAUUGCAGAAUUCAGUGAAUCAUCGAGUCUUUGAACGCACAUUGCGCCCCCUGGUAUUCCGGGGGGCAUGCCUGUCCGAGCGUCAUUGCUGCCCUCAAGCACGGCUUGUGUGUUGGGCUUCCGUCCCUGGUAACGGGGACGGGCCCAAAAGGCAGUGGCGGCACCAUGUCUGGUCCUCGAGCGUAUGGGGCUUUGUCACCCGCUCCCGUAGGUCCAGCUGGCAGCUAGCCUCGCAACCAAUCUUUUUUAACCAGGUUGACCUCGGAUCAGGUAGGGAUACCCGCUGAACUUAAGCAUAUCAAUAAGCGGAGGAAAAGAAACCAACAGGGAUUGCCUCAGUAACGGCGAGUGAAGCGGCAAGAGCUCAAAUUUGAAAUCUGGCCCCUUCGGGGUCCGAGUUGUAAUUUGUAGAGGAUGCUUCGGGUGCGGCCCCCGUCUAAGUGCUCUGGAACGGGCCAUCGGAGAGGGUGAGAAUCCCGUCUGGGACGGGGUGUCCGCGUCCAUGUGAAGCUCCUUCGACGAGUCGAGUUGUUUGGGAAUGCAGCUCUAAAUGGGUGGUAAAUUUCAUCUAAAGCUAAAUACUGGCCGGAGACCGAUAGCGCACAAGUAGAGUGAUCGAAAGAUGAAAAGCACUUUGAAAAGAGAGUUAAACAGCACGUGAAAUUGUUGAAAGGGAAGCGCUUGCGACCAGACUCGCUUCCGGGGUUCAGCCGGCUUUCGGGCCGGUGUACUUCCCCGGGGGCGGGCCAGCGUCGGUUUGGGCGGCCGGUCAAAGGCCCCUGGAAUGUAACGCCCCUCGGGGCGCCUUAUAGCCAGGGGUGUCAUGCGGCCAGCCUGGACCGAGGAACGCGCU